rnacentral:rRNA from 1 species
UAUUGCGCAAUGGAGGAAACUCUGACGCAGUGACGCGGCGGAUAGGAAGAAGGUGUUCGGAUNGUAAACUAUUGUCCACAGGGAANNUCNNNGNCUGUACCUGUGAAGAAAGCUCCGGCUAACUACGUGGNAGCAGCCGCGGUAAUACGUAGGGAGCAAGCGUUAUCCGGAAUUAUUGGGUGUAAAGGGUGCGUAGACGGGAUAACAAGUUAGUUGUGAAACCCCUCGGCUCAACUGAGGAACUGCAACUAAAACUAUUAUUCUUGAGUGCAGGAGAGGAAAGUGGAAUUCCUAGUGUAGCGGUGAAAUGCGUAGAUAUUAGGAAGAACACCGGUGGCGAAGGCGACUUUCUGGACUGUAACUGACGUUGAGGCACGAAAGUGUGGGGAGCAA